UUCAAUUAUGUUGUUGUGAGUUGGCGGGAUGUAUCGUUGUGAGGAGUUUCAUGGCGUAUAGCUCAUUUGACCCAUCGAUCAUCGACACUACUGUCAUCUCUCUACUACCGGGCCACAAGCCCCCUGCCUUGAGUUCCUAGCAUGUACUAGGAUGGCGAGAUAGAUGAAGACUAGUAUCUAUUCGAACAACAAUGAAACAAUAUUGUUCGGGAAUCCAGUGACAACAUUGGAACGAUGUUUUCUGAUUAUGAUCUGGAGAGGCUUGCUGCCGAGACUGAAGGUAAAUUCCAUCUUCCGUUCUAUGCUCAUUCUGAAAUGAUGGCGCUGCUGUGGUCCUUGAUGAGGAAGCAUAUCUAUAUGUCCCUAGGGUAUUCUGGGAGUGACCUGAGAGCCUUGUGCGAGGAAGCUACAAUGAUGUCCAUCAGUGAGCUCGGUGCACAGAACAUUCUCAGUACUAAAGCAAACCAGGUGCUUCUUCUGCAGUUUCUGAACUUUGUAUACCGAACCGCCAACCCUGCUGUUUAAAAUUGUUGGUAGUAAUCUCCAGUGAGUAGUUCAUGGCCAAGGAUGAAGCACCAACUUUCUUCUUGCCA